UAGUGAACUAUUAUUCAUGCAAAAGAACUCAUUUGGCCACUUGUGAUUUGUAGUUGAUGAGAAAAACAAGCAGCCUGCAACCUUUUGGUCAUGUCUACAGGACAUACAAGAGGGGCUUUAGGAACUUAAAAUAUGAGGACUGGGGAUAAGUGAAGUUGCCAUGAGAUGGUCUUAUGGCGUGCUUUUGGUCGUAGGAACAAGACACAUGAUGCAAGCUUCUGAUGUCUAAUUUGUUAAUUGCAUUUGUGAACUUGUAACAUCAUUAAUUUAUAAUAUUUAGUAUGUGAUGGAAACUGGGAACCGGGUGGCUGAACUUGGGAUUUGCUGAGCGGCAAGUGUGCUAGUGGCCUAGUGCUACUAUUAAUUUGUAAAUUUAGUAUGUGCUGGAGACUGCGAACUGAUUGGCUGAAUGUGGGAAGUGUUGAGCAGCUGGUGUGUUACUAGUGCUGCAAUUAAUUUGCUGAAAGUUGUUAUGUUUAAUUUUCUGAAAGUUGUGAUAUUUAACUUGCUGAAAGUUGUUAUA